ACUUAGUAAGAGCUCCUUAACAACUUAAAGCUUUAUCCCUCUGAGUACCAGAAAAGUGAUUUGAGUAGUUAUUGAGCAGGGAGAAUAAACUGCUUGCUCCGGGCAGGGAGAAAGCUUAUGGAAAUGAUAUUAGACCUUCAGCAAAGUGCACAGCUGCAUCAUACAGAAGCCGAGACUCAAAUUGACAGGCAAAUAAGCCAGAUCACGGAAGGGGCCUCUGUGUGGCAGCUCUGAGCUCCCAAGUGUUGGACAACUAGGCAAAAAGUGCACUGGAACAGGGCAGAAAAUAGCACACUAACUUCAGGCAACUGUUGCAUUUUCAUGGCCUGGAAAGUGACGUUUUCUGUAGAUGUCAACUUCUGUCUGGUGUGAUGCUCUGUUCUUCUGGUGAUGUCACAUGCAGCACUGAGUAAUAUUGGUAAAUGGAAGAGGUCUCUUAGAAUAAGGUGUCUGCCUACCAGUCAGUUUUGCAGCGGGAUCAUUUGUAUCGCUUCACUAACUGCUGGGUGUCUAUGGGAGGCACAUGAGGCUUCCACUGCAGCGCCUGUGAACUCUCACAACUCUAGAAAAGGACAACAAGGGAGAUGUUGGAGAGUGGUACAGGCAGUGAAAUGUGGGUCAAUACUUGAUGGUGGUUCUAAGAAAGGACAAGAAAGGCCAAGAGAAGCCAAUUUUGGGAGCAUGCUCAUUGUGAUACCCUCAGUGGCUUCUAACAGGGUUUCCUUGGAAGAAUUAUCAUGUUGGAAUGCAAAGAUUACUGUUUCAAUACAUACUCGUCAGGGCUGAGAUUGUAACUGAUCAGUGAAAGAAAAAAAUUCAAAAGAAAAAGGAAACUGAAGAAGUUAAUUGUACCAGAGCAGAAUCCAGCGAAGAUCCAUUUGUGAAUGAAGGGGACUGAGAAAAUGUUGGAGCCCGUAAUGCCUAGGCAUAGAGGAAGAGGCUCAUCCACACAAGACUCACUGACUUAAAGAGGAGCCAAAAACCCUCAUCAGAAGAGUUAGUUCCCUCUAGCCAUGUUUGCAGUGGUGGGACUCCAGCUCAGAGAGGAUUGUACUGCCUAGCUGCUCCUGGAGGUCUGUGGAAAAGGAACAUGGCCACCACUUCCCAGGAGCUUGGCUGAGGCUGCCACCAUACUCAGAUUAAGCCUUCCAAGGCCUUUGGUCAAGCAAUGGGAGUCUCAGAAGGCAUGAAAAGUAUUGACCAGUUUUCUAACCUAACAACUUCUCCAGUCCUAGAAGAAAAUGCUCCAGUCCUAGUUCUGGACUCCAGGGAAACUAGGAAAUGAAGUUGUGGCUUGGAGUCAGUCAUUAUUUAUGGCAUUUGGCACAUAAAACCCUGAUGAACCAGAAACAAAAUGAAAGAAAGGAGAACUGUAAACAAGGUCUUUCAGUGCUAAUUUUAACUCCAGGAUGACAAAUAGAGGUAUAGCAAUACAACAACUACAGCAACUUCAAUCAUUUUCCUAUAUUUAGUACCUCAAAAUUCAAGUUGACAGGUAUGCCUCACCUAAAUUCUGAUGCGUGUCAUCUCCUGAUUUAUGAGUGCUUGGUUUUGCAGAACAAAUAAAAUUCUCCCCGUUACUUAAUGGUGCUGAAGAUAUUUCUUCUCUUACCUUUCGUUAUCUUCUUUUUCUGUUGCUACUCAUAUCUGUCACCAGUCAUGUCUUUAAAUCCUUCCAUAGAUAACCUGUUCUAUGACUUUCUGAAGCUUCUAUUUUAUGUCACAGUGUUUUUUCCCUUUGCUUUCUAUAUCAUUGGUGUACAAUCUCCAGAGUAUCAAGCAACUUACAGAGUGGCUUGAAAAGCUGAAUCACAUUGAACUCAAUGUCUGAGAGUCAGUAUUCUUUGCAACUGCUAAUAGCUUUGAGCAAGCCAGUUUAUUUUUCAGUGUUUCACUUUCUUCCCCUGAUUUCUAGUAAUGCAGAUAGAGUUCUCUUUUCUGAGCAAAAUGUAAUCUGGUAGAUAGCAAAUUGGGUUGGUAGCAGGAAAAGGGGAGAGCUUUCAUCAUAAGAAUAAAAUGGACCUAAAGGUUUUAUAAAUUAAAGGCCAAUUAUUCCCAGGAGUGCAUGGGGAGCCUUCCACAGCAAUCACUCUUGAGAAUCUGAAGGCAGAACAGGGCCUCGACCAUCUGUAUUUGGACUUUGUCAGGCCAUUUGUUUGUAACCGGAAUUGUAUUGUUGCUCUGGUUUUCAGUAAAGGGAUGUUCACUGAGGCAUCACAUUGAUAUUUUUGAAGUACGUUCCAUGUUUUCAAAGAAACAAAUUUAUCAGCAAUGAAUUGAAAUGUCUAGCUGUUUCCGUAUGCUGUAGAGAUUUCACAUCAUGCUGCUGUGCAUGUGCAUUCAUUUUUCACCUGCUGGAUGUAAUGGGAACAAGUUCAAUACAUGAAUGAAAGCAUGUUAACAAGGAAGUGAUUUGGCCAAACCAUGCUUCUUCCUCCUAACAGAUAAAAAAAGCCCUGAAAAAACAAAGGCUGAAGGCACAAGCUUGUUUUCAUUAAUCAUAAAUCAGAGACGAUCCCCAAAUAGUAUAGUAGGAGGCAAUGUUGACAGUAGACCUGUGGGAUUUUAACAAACUCGGCUCCUGUUCUUUGUUUUACCUAUAUCUAGGUUAACUACUGUCUGAAAGAGCUUUGUGGGAAAAUCUCAUCUUAUUAUCUUAAAUAAAAAGAGCUGACUAUUUGUGGAAAAACUCAUCAGGCUUUCAUUUUCAAGUUCUGUACAAGGCUGACCCUUUGUCUGAAGUAUUAAAAAUCCCACAGUGGAUGUAUAAAUUAUGGCCUAUAGUAAGGACUUUGGGACAUUCCACUGAGUAUGUUCACAAAAUUUGAGUAAGGCUGUUGUUCCAGAUGAUGCAUGUGGCUCACAAUCCUGAGAGCUGAAAAGCUCCCUGCAAGACCAAGAGGCCAACCAGACUGAUUCUUUGGACUUUGAACCUCCAAUGUUACCUGCUAAUAUGGCACAUAGAGCCAUGAUUGAAAGUGUCUGGGUACUAUGAGCAACACCUAUACUUCUGGGACCAACAGACCUCAGUCUGCAUCAUGGUUGACAGGAUUGCAAUAUCUGGUAUAUUUUCUGCAGUAUUUCUCAGCAAAAAGAGCAAGGCUAGAGAUGAAAAUUCGAAAAACCUCUUAAUGGAGUAUUUUAAAGUCUAGGAUCACAGCUUUUGAGGUCCCUAGUACCAAUGAAACAACCAACUAGUUACUGGGGGUCAGAAGGAGAAAAGAGGAAGAGAGGGAAAGGAAACUACAUUGAAGGAAGGUGAUUCUGUUUGGAAAAAAUGUCUCAUACAGUUUGGCAACUCUUACCAUGCUGUUGCCAACUUGCAAGUUCAUAUGAGGUUUACAGCAAGUUACAGGAAGAAUAAAAUGUUAAUCAUGUGCAGAACCUUAGUUGUAUUCUCGCCAUCUAUUUCAACAACAGUAAUAACAUACAGACUAAGAAGUGAUUACAGAAUGACAUAAGCUUCUUUUCCAUUUGAAUUUGAAAAUGUAUUUCCAUUUAAAGCUUAAUUUUUAUGUGCUUCAUCCAAAAUUAAGAAAACAAGAGGAUGUGAUUUCCAAGCACUAUAUAUAGGCUGGAUCUGGUGUCAAGUUUUUCUAACAGUUAUUAGCUGUGUUAAAAGCAGUGACUUUUAACACAGUAUCUAAAAAAAAAACUUACCAGCAUUUUAUGGUGGCUUAAAAAAAAUACAAAGGACAACAAGUUGAAACAUGGGGAAGAUCAGUGACAAAGGUACUUAGUCAACAAAAGACUUAACUGCAUGUUGCAGAUUGUAUCUUCUUACAAAAGCCUUUCAUUAAUGAACUAUGUGUUAGAAAGUCUGUUCAGCUGAUUAAACUUUUCUAUAUCUGAAAUUGUUUAUGAGUUAUAAUUACCUCCUUCAAAACCUUCUUUCUUCUUGUAACUGGCUACAGACUUGAUGAAAAGUAUUCGGUCUUUUCCUGUCACACAAUACAAAUGGUGUGCUAAUUUUUGCCCAUGGAAAAACUAUGCUUUCAAAUACAACAAACAUCUUUAUUAUCACCUUAGUAUGCACUGGAGUCAUCCUGAUGUAUUGUAAACACAUUGGGCCCAGGAGUUCAUACAUAUGUAGAAAGUUUAUUUAUGGAAAUUCUUCAGAAGCUUGCUUGGGAUGAGUGGUCCUACUUAUUAGAAAUGACUUCUCCAAC
ensembl:lncRNA